rnacentral:rRNA from 1 species
UACAGGGGGUGCAAACGUUGCUCGGGAAUCAUUGGGCGUAAAGCGCACGUAGGCGGUUCGUUAUGAUCGGAUGUGAAAGCCCUUGGCUUAACCGAGGAAGUGCAUCCGAAACUGGCGAGCUAGGAGUACGAAAGAGGAUCGCGGAAUUCCAUGUGUAACGGUGAAAUGCUUAGAUAUAUGGAGGAACACCGAUAACGAAGGUAACUCACUAAACUGUAACUGGACGCUGAGGUAACGAAAGCGUGGGGAGCAAACGGG